UGCGGGUGAAUCGCUCGUAGUUGGAUUUCUGUCGAGAACAGCCGGUCACGAUUUUGUCGUUGCAUCUGGUUUGGGCUUGGCAUCCUCUUGGGGAACAUUACUGCGCUUCGCUGCGUGGAGUGGUACUCAAGACUCUUACUUUGAGGAAAUUAGAGUGUUCACGGCAGGCAAUCGCCCUGAAUAUGUUAGCAUGGAAUAAUGAUAUAGGACCUUGGUUCUAUUUUGUUGGUUUCUAGGACUAAGGUAAUGAUUAAUAGGGACCUGCGGGGGCAUUCGUAUUAACGCGUCAGAGGUGGAAUUCUUAGAUUGCGUUACGACGAACUACUGCGAAAGCAUUUGUCUAGGAUGUUUUCAUUGAUCAAGAACGAAAGUAAGGGGAUCGAAGACGAUUAGAUACCGUCGUAGUCUUUACCGUCAACUAUGCCAACUAGAGAUUGGAGGUCGUUCUUUUUUAUGACUCCUUCAGCAUCUUAUGAUAACUCAAAGUUUUUGGGUACCGGGGGGAGUACAUUCGCCCAAGAUGAAAACUUAAAAGGAAUUGAC
rnacentral:rRNA from 1 species